GAUAACUAAUUUUUGAUUUUCUUUCACUUCAUAUUUUGAAUACAAAUUUCACUAACUUAGACUUUUGAAUUUCAUUAUGUAAUUUUGAGUACGUAGAGAAGGUGUAAUGUUAUUAAUGCUAUAAUUUGGAGUAAUAGAUAUAUAAGAAAAAGGAACUUUCAUUAAAGAUGAAGCACGUGCUUUGGACCUUGUGUAUAUGUUUUAUUGUGUUUACUGAAGUGAAAUCGAUCUCAGAGUUAGAAGAGUUUAGACAAAAUGCCACAGCGGUAAUUAAACAAUACAUUGGAACAUUCUCUGAUGUAAUAGGAACAGACUUGUGGAUCUGGGUUGGGAUUGCUGCUGGUGGAACAUUUAUUCUUUGUCUGAUACUAUGGGCUGUCUGCAGUUGCUGUUAUUGCUUAUGUAGUGGUGGGGCUAAAAAGAGGAGGUCAAAUAACCGAGCUCCAUGAUGACAGGAUGGAGGCCUUCACAGUCUUUAGGAAGGGAGAGGACUCCAGCAAGAUGUUUAUUUGUAUUCUCAAAAAUU
rnacentral:misc_RNA from 1 species